AACGAACGCUGGCGGCAGGCUUAACACAUGCAAGUCGAGCGCCCCGCAAGGGGAGCGGCAGACGGGUGAGUAACGCGUGGGAAUCUACCCAUCCCUACGGAAUAGCUCCGGGAAACUGGAAUUAAUACCGUAUACGCCCUACGGGGGAAAGAUUUAUCGGGGAUGGAUGAGCCCGCGUUGGAUUAGCUAGUUGGUGGGGUAAAGGCCUACCAAGGCGACGAUCCAUAGCUGGUCUGAGAGGAUGAUCAGCCACAUUGGGACUGAGACACGGCCCAAACUCCUACGGGAGGCAGCAGUGUGGAAGAUUGGACAAUGGGGGCAACCCUGAUCCAGCCAUGCCGCGUGAGUGAUGAAGGCCUUAGGGUUGUAAAGCUCUUUCACCGGGGAAGAUAAUGACGGUACCCGGAGAAGAAGCCCCGGCUAACUUCGUGCCAGCCGCCGCCGUUAA
rnacentral:rRNA from 1 species